rnacentral:rRNA from 1 species
GCCAGACUCCUACGGGAGGCAGCAGUGAGGAAUAUUGGUCAAUGGCCGAGAGGCUGAACCAGCCAAGUCGCGUGAGGGAAGACGGCCCUACGGGUUGUAAACCUCUUUUGUCGGGGAGCAAAGCGAGUCACGUGUGGCUCAUUGAGAGUACCCGAAGAAAAAGCAUCGGCUAACUCCGUGCCAGCAGCCGCGGUAAUACGGAGGAUGCGAGCGUUAUCCGGAUUUAUUGGGUUUAAAGGGUGCGCAGGCGGAGGUGCAAGUCAGCGGUCAAAUUGCGGGGCUCAACCCCGUACUGCCGUUGAAACUGCACCCCUUGAGUGCGCGAGAAGUAUGCGGAAUGCGUGGUGUAGCGGUGAAAUGCAUAGAUAUCACGCAGAACUCCGAUUGCGAAGGCAGCAUACCGGCGCGCAACUGACGCUCAUGCACGAAAGCGUGGGUAUCGAACAGGAUUAGAUACCCGCGUACGU